ACUGAAGAAUUGAAGACACCAUUGACUCCAAUAAAGCUAGAGACAACAAUUCAAAAUGAGGAACCAGCUACUAAUUACUUACCCACACAGAUCAGGAGAUGGAGGAGUAAAGUGUAAUAAUAAUAAAGAUAAAGGAACAGCAACCAACACUUUGAAUGAAUCUCAGGAACAUGGAAGUACUUCAAUAGAGAAAGGACAGUCUGGUAAGAUAUGUACACA